GUGCCAGCCGCCGCGGUAAUACGGAGGGUGCAAGCGUUGUCCGGAAUCACUGGGUGUAAAGGGUGUGUAGGCGGGCGUGUAAGUCAGGGGUGAAAGGCAGCGGCUUAACCGUUGGAUUGCCUUUGAUACUGCACGUCUUGAGUACCGGAGGGGUCACUGGAAUUCGUGGUGUAGCGGUGAAAUGCGUAGAUAUCACGAGGAACACCGGAGGUGUAGACGGGUGACUGGACGGAGACUGACGCUGAGGCACGAAAGCGUGGGGAGCAAACAGGAUUAGAUACCCUCGUAGUCC
rnacentral:rRNA from 1 species